rnacentral:rRNA from 1 species
AGUCGAGCGAAGCGAUUUAAAUGAGACUUCGGUGGAUUUUAAAUUGACUGAGCGGCGGACGGGUGAGUAACGCGUGGAUAACCUGCCUCACACAGGGGGAUAACAGUUAGAAAUGACUGCUAAUACCGCAUAAGCGCACGGUACCGCAUGGUACAGUGUGAAAAACUCCGGUGGUGUGAGAUGGAUCCGCGUCUGAUUAGGUAGUUGGUGAGGUAACGGCCCACCAAGCCGACGAUCAGUAGCCGACCUGAGAGGGUGACCGGCCACAUUGGGACUGAGACACGGCCCAAACUCCUACGGGAGGCAGCAGUGGGGAAUAUUGCACAAUGGGCGAAAGCCUGAUGUAGCAACGCCGCGUGAGUGAAGAAGUAUCUCGGUAUGUAAAGCUCUAUCAGCAGGGAAGAAAAUGACGGUACCUGACUAAGAAGCCCCGGCUAACUACGUGCCAGCAGCCGCGGUAAUACGUAGGGGGCAAGCGUUAUCCGGAUUUACUGGGUGUAGAGGGAGCGCAGACGGCACUGCAAGUCUGAAGUGAAAGCCCGGGGCUCAACCCCGGGACUGCUUUGGAAACUGUAGAGCUAGAGUGCUGGAGAGGCAAGCGGAAUUCCUAGUGUAGCGGUGAAAUGCGUAGAUAUUAGGAAGAACACCAGUGGCGAAGGCGGCUUGCUGGACAGUAACUGACGUUCAGGCUCGAAAGCGUGGGGAGCAAACAGGAUUAGAUACCCUGGUAGUCCACGCCGUANACGAUGAAUACUNGGUGUUGGUGGGCAAAGCCCAUCGGUGCC